GACGUAGGUGGCGAACGUUAUCCGGAAUUAUUGGGCGUAAAGAGCUCGUAGGUGGCGGGUCACGUCGGGUGUGAAAGCCCGGGGCUUAACUCCGGGUCUGCAUUCGAUACGGGUCUGCUGGGGUCCGGCAGGGGAGACUGGAAUUCCUGGUGUAGCGGUGAAAUGCGCAGAUAUCAGGAGGAACACCGGUGGCGAAGGCGGGUCUCUGGGCCGGUACCGACGCUGAGGAGCGAAAGCGUGGGGAGCGAACAGG
rnacentral:rRNA from 1 species